rnacentral:rRNA from 1 species
CCUACGGGAGGCAGCAGUGGGGAAUAUUGGACAAUGGGCGCAAGCCUGAUCCAGCAAUGCCGCGUGAGUGAUGAAGGCCUUCGGGUUGUAAAGCUCUUUCGUCCGCGACGAUGAUGACGGUAGCGGAAGAAGAAGCCCCGGCUAACUUCGUGCCAGCAGCCGCGGUAAUACGAAGGGGGCAAGCGUUGUUCGGAAUUACUGGGCGUAAAGGGCGCGUAGGCGGUCGGCCGCGUCAGAUGUGAAAGCCCCGGGCUCAACCUGGGAACCGCAUUUGAGACGGGCCGACUCGAGUUCGGGAGAGGAUGGUGGAAUUCCCAGUGUAGAGGUGAAAUUCGUAGAUAUUGGGAAGAACACCGAGGGCGAAGGCAGCCAUCUGGACCGACACUGACGCUGAGGCGCGAAAGCGUGGGGAGCAAACAGGAUUAGAUACCCCUGUAGUC